GACGAAUGCUGGCGGCGUGCUUAACACAUGCAAGUCGAACGGAAAGGCCCUGCUUUUGUGGGGUGCGCGAGUGGCGAACGGGUGAGUAACACGUGAGUAACCUGCCCUUGACUUUGGGAUAACUUCAGGAAACUGGGGCUAAUACCGGAUAGGAGCUCCUGCUGCAUGGUGGGGGUUGGAAAGUUUCGGCGGUUGGGGAUGGACUCGCGGCUUAUCAGCUUGUUGGUGGGGUAGUGGCUUACCAAGGCUUUGACGGGUAGCCGGCCUGAGAGGGUGACCGGCCACAUUGGGACUGAGAUGCGGCCCAGACUCAUACGGGAGGCAGCAGUGGGGAAUAUUGCACAAUGGGCGGAAGCCUGAUGCAGCAACGCCGCGUGCGGGAUGACGGCCUUCGGGUUGUAAACCGCUUUCGCCUGUGACGAAGCGUGAGUGACGGUAAUGGGUAAAGAAGCAACGGCUAACUACGUG
rnacentral:rRNA from 1 species